rnacentral:lncRNA from 1 species
AAAUGCUUUUAAAUUGAAUGAAGAAGAAAAUUUCUUAAACACACAAAAUCAUUUUAUUAAUGUUGUUUUAAUUGAAUACUUGGUAUACUUGGUGGGCUGUCGCAACCCACACAAAUUUGAUGUGCAAAUAAAUGCAGUAUAGCUAGGGAAUGACCCCUAGGUCGUCUCUCAAAGACUAAUUUUGCGGUUCGAGAAUCGAGUCUAACACGAAGGGGGGGGUUUGUGAAAAUGGUUUUGAAAAAAUUAAAGAACUCAAUAUAACACAGAUGCAAACAAACUAAUUUAAGCUAGCAUGGUAAUUAAACUAACACUAUUAAAAACCUUAGACAACAUUCAAACAAAAUAAAAUAAAAUACUAGACCCCAACAAGACAACAAACAACUACCCAACACAGUUAAAUUAAAUUAAAUGCAAAACUAAAUUAAAGAAAUCAAAAGCAACUAAUCCUACUAAUUAAUCUAAUUCAAAUAAGGAAUAAUCAAACAUGUUUUUUCCUACACAUUCAUGUGACCAAAUACAUCCAACCAAAUAAAAUUAAAAAUGCAAAUGGCCUAAAAACACCUCUUGGCCGUGAGGUUCCUUGCACCACAUCCAAAUUUGUCUUCUUUCUUCAAUAAACAAUUGAAUAUGCUCUCUUUUUGUCCCAUGUGCCUCAUUCUCCAAGAAAAUNCUUCCUUCUACCUUUCUACCAUAAAAAAAACGUGGCAUACCCUCUCUAACAAGCCAAGACCGUCCUCCCUCUUAAAGUCCAAAGAAAUUUGGUGUUUCCAAAACCAAAGGUCAAAUGAGAUGCUUUAAAUGCUUCAACACAAAAAGUNGAGUUGCUUCUACCAAUGUGCCACAUAAGCAAAGUCAAAGGGAACAAAAACAAUCACAAUACAUUCUCUUCUUCAAGCAAUUCACGUCAAGCUAGCAAAGGGUCAAGACCAAAAGGGCAAUAUUCCUUCCAUGGUAAAUGAGCCCUUCAUGUGCAUGGUCAAAUGAGGUAAAAAUUAAAUGAACCCUUUGUCUCUCCCUUCUCAACCUAUUUUCGGUUUUCACACCAACACAAACAUGCAAAUAGCUUCCUUUCACCUUCCAAAACCGAGAACAACUCCAAAGAACCCAAAGUUUCAAUUGCAAAAGCUUACAAGAACAACAACCCCAAAUUUCAACUUCUACUAACCAACCUAACACUCAUUUUUCUUCAAACUUUUAUGAAAAUCAAAAUGGAAUUUCUACUCCACCUUGCAGCACCGUCCAACUCUCCAUAAGAAACACAAUGUUCCAUUUCAUAUAUUACUUCCAACCAUUAAAACAAAAGCACAAGAAGAAAAGGGUUCAAGCUCCCAACAACCAUGCAUUAACUCAAGUCUUUUUCAUUACUAAACUCAACAAGAACUCCAUUUUCAUCAUCCAACCAAGAAAACCAAAAGGGAAUACGAAAUUACUGCAGCCAAGGAAGAGAAAAACGAAAUACAAAAUGGGUCUUCAUUCAACCAAAGGAAACACCAUGAAAAUACAAAGAACCACCUCCAAGCUCAAGCUUUCAACAUUCAAAUGGAAAAUGCAAGAAGAGAAAUGAUAGAUCUCCAUUCCAUUAAGCAAGAACAAGCAUGUUUACAAGCAAGAGAAGAAGAAAAACGAAAUCUUGUUCAUUCCAUAGCUCAAAACCGAAAAUGGCACACCAAGGCUCAAAGAGAGAGUUCAUACAAGGCAAAAGCAAAAGCAAAAUGUAGUAUCAAGUGUGCUAGAGUUUUUGUCUCGGCAAUUCUACUCAAAAUGCCUUCCAACCUCAAAAUAGGUGGGGUCCACACAUUGGGCUUCUACAAAAUUUCCACUAAAAGGGCCCAAAAACACCUAAUCUAAUUAAGGUUUCUAAAAAAACGAAAUUACAACUUUAUUAAAAUGGAAAUGACUAAAUGUUGAGUCUUGAAUGAUCAUGCCACCAUCCCUAAUGCUCCAAAUGAUGUUUCCCAAAAUUUCCCUGCAACCAAAGUACACUUAAUCAGCUCAAAAAACCCAAAUUAGCACAAUUACGAAUUUUCGACCAAAUUAAGCAGAAUUCGGAAAACGGGGAAAUAACAGACAAAUAAACACAAUUCCCUGGUUUAUUUAAGUGCAAUAAACUAAAUAUAGUUCAAGAAAUAACCACUCAUCAAUACUUACAACUAUAUGCUCUAUAAUUAAAGAAAUCCUUAUCAAUUUUAACCAUGUGUAUAUAAAAAAAAUAAAAACAAAUGCUUUAUUUUGUAAUUAUUGUAUAUGUAAUAUGGGUUAAAUAUGUUUUUAGUUUCUAAACUAUCAAGUGAAUUUGAUUUUAGUCCCUCUUUCAAAAUAAGCUAUAUUUUAGUCCUUCUCCUUAAGAAAACCAUAAUUUUUCGUCCUCCAAAACUAACGGCGUUAAAGAGAGGUUGAGUUGGCUAACGGUGAAGUGCUAUGUCAUUUUUUUCCUGAGUCAAUCUUCCCAGCUUUUCUCCCUCCCUCAUUGGCGUCGUCUCUAAUUUCUCGCAUCGAACCACCACCCAAUAACCGUGCCACCAUCACCAGCCAUCCUGGUCGUCACAAAUCCACCAUGAAUGCCCCAUAGCCACCACGAUCUAGAAACCUGACCCAAAAUUCGCAGAACCCUAAUUGUGAUGGCAACCUAUAUCGCAUCUUCUCCCUUCUGUCGCGCCACCGUUCAUCUCCUCC